UGAUGCUGUGGGUGGUGCAUUUCAGUAGUGGCAACAGUGGGUCAACUCCACUAGUACAGAUUUUUACAAGUGCAGAAUGCAGGCUUUUGUUCAUCACUGGUAAAAAUGCAUAGUUACUGGUGGUGACUGCAUGGAAAAGUUUUCUGUAGCUGAGAAUUUGCUCUGUCAACUAGUAUUAUCGUGCUUUUUGUAUCUGCUGUAGUUUCCAUGGAAAUAAAUAGGAGGCGUUACUUUUGGAGUGAUCUACAUAAUGUUCUCAGGCUUGUUCACAUAAACAAAUCCAUUCCUUUCUAAACCAUGAAAGUGUCUGUGUGUGGAUGUGCACAGGUUUAAUAGUACAGAAUUAUCUAUAAAGUAUGUGAGAUAGUGUUUUGAGAGAGGAAAUAAGAAGGAAGGAAACAAUGAGGAGCUCUGGAAGGCAGAAAAUGCUAUUUUCGAGUUGGAGUCAGUAUGCCAUAAGUAUCUAAUUUCACAGAUACUUAAUGUCACGUAUAUCAUGCUCUCAUAGAUUUUUAAUACACUUUAUUUUUGUACAUGCUAGUAACAUGCCACAGUAUACUUCUAAAAACCACAAAAAGACAACAUUAAUGGGAUUCUAACUUACUUGAUUUUCUGGGACUUGACUGCAAGAAUAGCUCAAAAAGCUAAAAGAUGACCUGGUGUUUGAGAGAGAUAAAGGGACCUUGAUUGUAUAUUGAUACUAAUUUUCAUUGAGAUCAUUUGGCUGCAGCAUCCAAAGAGAACAUUCUCAUUAACUAUUGCUCAGUUAAAAUGUAAUAACUUGGAAAAAAAAAAAAAAAAGGCAAAAGUGACUGAAAUACAGUGUCUGGAUGCAGCUAGGUUUUUGGCCAUCUUGGGUUCCCAGUCCUCUGUAUUCUAUGCACAAUACUUUGGCCAGAACAAAAUACUAUAGAUGUGAGAAGAAAAUGUACUGCAUCAUCGUGAUCUAAAGCACAUGUCUCAGCCACUCCAUCUUUCCUCAAAAUUUAGCCAGUGGCAACACAUUAUAACGCUUAUGAGUCCAUUCAGCACAGGGCUGUGUUACACGUGUAUGCUGGCCUAUUCAUUAAAAUUCAGAAGUUGUAAAGCAUUAAACUUGCCUACUACAAGGAUUUUUUUGUAUGGAUAGUCCAGACAGGCUCAUAAAAGUCCCCGGUGCUUUACAUUCUAGAUUGAACUCUACGACAAUAAAGCUCCUUGAAAUUACAUGUAUAUGGAACUAAACUAAAUACCACAAUGUAAAGAAAACUGCCAAAGCACCACACUGUGUUCUUAAAUGGCCAACUUAAUCACUCUCAGUAAGGUUAGUAUCUGUGCACUAGCUGAAUUAAGCUGUUCUUAUAUUUCACAGCUAGAGUUCCAGUAAAAUUGGAGCAUGAUAUUCAAAUACCUUCCUCUCCAUUGAAGAUUUUACUCAUAGUCUCAAAAUAAAUGUUUUCUGGAAAUAAUUUUUGUGAAGAAAGCUAAUAUGAAUAAGUGUAGGGUGUACAAUAGACUGCCUUUUAGCUAAUCCAUCUAUUUUAUCAUUCUUACCUGAGAAGAAGCAUUUUUUCUUCACCUUUCAUGAAAGUUUCAGUGUUAGAUUUGCACAUUCUAUAAAAUACUUACAUGUGUAACACAGCAAGUAUGUGCAAUCCUGCUGAUGCAACAAAUGCUGUGAAAGAACUUUCAGACCUUGUGGCAAAGCAUCAUCUGUGACAGCCACAGAGUCAGUCUGCAGGUAGGUGCAUGUCAGGUAAACCAUGGCUUUUCAGAUUUCACAUUUUUAGAAAUGAUUCAGAGUACUUACUGGAACAAAGUAGCUAAUGAUCUUGUCUAAAUAAUUAUGACAAGAAUAGAUGAUAUGAUUUUCCUAGCUGAAAUUACAGUAGUAAAAAGUAGGUAAAUCACUGAGUCUUGAAUUAUGGUUUGGGGACUGCUUUCUUUUUCUUUUUCUUUUUCUUUUUCUUUUUCUUUUUCUUUUUCUUUUUCUUUUCCUUUUCCUUUUCCUUUUCCUUUUCCUUUUCCUUUUCCUUUCCUUUUCCUUUUCCUUUUCCUUUUCCUUUUCCUUUUCCUUUUCCUUUUCCUUUUCCUUUUCCUUUUCCUUUUCCUUUCUUUCUCUUCCUCUUCUUCUUCCCCUUCCCCUUUCCCUUUUCUUUUUUUUUUUUUAAUUGUUUCACUUAAAUCCUCAGCCAAGAUCUCAUAGAUGUAUUUGUAAAUGCUUAUACACACACGCGUAUACUUUAGCUUCUAUGUGCACACUAUAAAUUAUACCUUUUAAAGAUGAAUUCCUUUACCAACUUGAGAUUCUGUAGCAAUCCCUGUAAACUAGAAAAUGCAGCAACAAUGAGUAAUCACUGGAUUUCCACGUGCUUUCCAUUUUAACAUUUAAAUGGAAUUUACAUUUAAAAGUUCCUUACAUUUUCACUUCAGCAUUUCCUAUGUCCCAUUCAGCAUCAUCCUUGUUGGAAUUAUGGUGACCUCUGGCAGACAAGCAAGUAGGAAGUUGGGAGUCAUGAAUUCUGACACUGUUCCAAUGCCAAAUGUGGCACAAUGGGUCGAAGUUACUUUGAGGGUGUCCAUAGCUGCACUGAGGAAACCACAACUCUGCAGGUAUCUGCUUGCAAAAAUAGUAUUAUUUCACGAGGCAUGUUCUCUGCUAUUUGUGUAUGAAUGGGACAAGUAUACUGACAACACAGUUUGACAGAAUGGUAAGAAUUUCUGCACUGAUUAUUCUGGCUGAUUCAAUCCUACAAGUGCACAUUUUCUACACAGAAAUCUGUAGAAAGCAUUAUGGUCUGUUGCUUUCUUAUCAUCAUAGAAAAUUGAUGAAGAUGGAAGGUGUAUGUCAUUCUAUGUAGUCACUGUUCAGAAUGGCAAUGUUGCUCAAAAAUUCUGCAUGUGAUCCAACACUUUGGGGUUGCUGAUAUUACCUAAUUAAUGGCCUAUUGCAGACAGCUGUGAUCUUUGAAUAAUGACUGGUUCCAUUCCAAACAUUUUAUACUGGGAAACUACUGUGCCCUUGUGUCAGUUUUUUCUGCCUUUAACAGACAUGAACCCAUGGUUCAGGUGUAGUGUCUAUUUCCUUUGUGAACUGGUGGGCCUGUACAUUUGGUUUUAUAUUGCCUUGUAUAAAUCAGAUCAAUGUAAAAUGAAUGACAUCCCUGAAUAGUGUUCCCUUCUCUCAUUGUGACUUGUGUUUCCUGUGGCCUGAAUUUUUAUAGUAUGUGAAGUGUAAAGCAGAUAUGCAACAUACAUACCGCUGGUUUCAGUAUCAUGAAAAAGAGAGCUCAUGGAGCAAUGGAUGCUGAGCUUGCACUCCUUAAUCUGAAUGACUCAAUAACUUGUUAUGGACAGCUUCCUCUCAUAUGCUUGACUCUUUGACACACCAUUCAUGUUCAUACCAAGGAAUUUCCAAUUAAAAAAGCUUAUCUUCUUCACAAUUUUUCUGCAGUGUGAUCAAAAGUGAUUUUUUUUUUUUUUUUUUGGUAAUGUGUGUUACUUCACAAAAAAAGUAUUCCUCUCCUUAAUUUGUCACCAAUUUCAAAAGAGAUAAAGCCUUUUAUAGAUUCCACCACAGACUUGGGACUUCUCAAAUAUAACACACCCUUGAGUUCACAGAGGGUCAAAUACACUUCUGUGCAGUGGGUUAGCACAGAUCUUAUCAUUAUGAAAGUUCCUCAUAAAUCUUGAACAUAGGAUUUUUCUCUUUAUAAAGAUGAUUUUUGCCUAACUCAAAUUACAUUUUGUAGUGAAUGGGAAUGUGAGUGUUUGGAGAGGCCUUUAAACAUCAAUUGUAGUUAAGAAGCUGAAUGCAGUGCAGAUAUGGACAUUGCAGUGCAGCCUUUAUUAAUCAGUGAUCACAAUGUUGAUUUCUUCCUGAAGUUAAAAACAUAUAAAUGUGACCUACUAGAUUAAAUUCCAAAUGUUCCUGAGUCUCUAUUCUGGAUUUGCCAUUGUUUUGUGCCUAACCAGGGGUGAGUCACUUCAACUUUUUGAAGUAUGGAGUACAUACAAUACAGGAUAUUUCCAUUGUGCCUAGUAUAGCAACAGAUGUUAAUUAAUGUGUCUGCAACUUCACAAAGCAUAUACAAUACACAAAAGCAUAGCUCCGCAUGUAGAUCUUUCCCCAGGGCACAGAAAUUCGUGUCUACUUUAGACAAAUUUUAUUUUCUCCAUGACAGCUUUGUUGAUAUUAAAUGACUGGAACUCAAGCUGUGUUUAUGGGUUACAACUGGUUGCAAUCUGUAAGAUUUGACUAUGCAAAUUUAAUUCUGAUCCUAUGUUUCAGAGAAACUGCUUGUUGAAGGAAGAUUUAGAAUUUGUUUUCCAUUCAUAUUUAAGCUUGAGUUUAAAAUUUUCACUAACAAAAUUCCGAUGCACCAUUAUACAUAGAAACCUAAUAUGGAAAGGUCAGUAAGCUGGUUGGAAAAAGAAAAAAACCUGAAAACUCAAUGAUUUACAGAAAAUAUUUAUGCACUUCUUACCUGGAUCUAGCAGAAAAUUUAGAAGAUAAAUGUAUUGUCAUGUAUUUUACUCCUCUCCCCUUUUAUUUUUUGUUGUAGUUCUAAGUUUUUUGUUUGUUUGUUCACUUUUUUGUUUGUUUGUUUGUGUUUUUCUUGGAGACUGGAUUUUACUUUCAAUCUUCUAUGGAAUCACAAUAUCUUUAAGGUUGGAAAAAACCUCUUGAGAUCUCCUCCAACCCUCCUGCCCAAGGAUGGUUAGCUAGAAGUGAUUGCCCAGGACCAUGCACUGUCAAGUUUUGAGUAUUUCCACAGGCAGACUCCACAGCCACUGGACAACAUAAUCCUGUGUUUGAUCACCUUCCCAGUAAAAUGUGUAUUUUUUAUUAAGUUGGAAUUUUAUAUGUUUGAAUUUGUGCCCUCUGUCUCUUGUGCUGACAAUGGGCAAGUAGUCUGGUUUAAUCUUCAUUCCUUGCCAUCAUGUUGUUAUGUACAUUGAUACGAUCCCACCAAACCUUUCUUUUCUCCAGGCUGAACAGUCUCAGCUGCUCCUUGUAUGAGAGGUGUUCUAAUUCCUUAGUCAUCUUUGUGGCUCUUUGCUGGGCCAUUAAGUCCACGUGUCUCAUGUACCAGAGAACCCAGCACUGGACAUAGUAUUACAGAAUGACUAGUGUGGAGUAGAGAGGUAGAAAUUUCUUCCUCAACCUGCGGGCCUACAGCAGCCCAGGAUGCUGUUGGCCUCCUUUGUUGCCAGGGCAUAUUGCUGCCUCAUGGUCAGCUUGUUGUCCACCAAGACCCUGCGGUUCUUCUCUGUAAAGUUAUUUUGAAGUCAGUUGUGCUCUGCAUAUAGUGAUCCCUGAAGGUUAUUCCUCCCCGGGUGCAGGUCUUGGCAUUUUCCUUUGUUGAAUGUAAUGAGACUCCUGUAGGCCUGUCUUCUAGACUUCCCAGGUCCAUCUGAAUGGCAACACAACCCUAUCAUGUUAGCUACUUCUCCCUGUUUUAUACAAGCUGGAAACUCACAGAGGGUGUCUUCUGUCCCAUUGUCUAGGUCGUUAAAGAAGAUUUUAAACAGUACAGACACAAUAUUGAGUAUGCUGCUAAUGACAUGCCACCAACUGUUACUUUCUAUGGCUGAAUACAGAGCUCUGGGCUUGGACGUUUAGCCAGUUUUCACUCCAACUCACUGUCAUCAGUUUGUCUCUGGCUAUGGUAUGGGGAGAAAGUUUUACUAAAUUCAAGGUAAAAAACAUCCAUUGCUGUCCUGUUAUCCAUCAAGCUAGUUACCUCAUUGCAGUAGUCUGUCAGGUUGGUGAGGGACAGUUUCUCCUUUGGAAAAAUAAGUUCACUGUUCCUUGUAGCCUUCAUGUACUUCAGCUGAGAGUAAGCCUUUCUUGCUCCAGAAAUAAGUCUGUUAAACUCAAAGUAGAGCAGCAUGCAGCCAUUAGUACUGAGCCUUUUGAUUUAAUGUAAUGUGGCAUUAUUAUUUAUUUAUUUAUUUCCACUUGAGUGAUACUGAAAGAUACUGUGCAUCCUAAAUUCCUCCUGUAGUCCCCUGGCAUCUGUAUUCUCACUGUCAUUUUCCAGGAUCAACCUCUCCAGUGUUGCUUAUGUAUAAACUUGAGAAAUGAAUCCUGAAGAUAUGACAUACAUUUUGUUUGUUAUUUUAGGCCACUUUAUACUUGAUCUGAUCUUCAAGGUCAAUGUUCUGUUCUAUUUUUUAGGAUAAACAAAUCUGUAUCCUUCUUUGACCAGGACAUCACAUCCUAAAAAUAUGUAUGACAGAGCUGCAGUUUACACUAUAUUUCUUUCGUCAGUUGGACUUUAUAGCCAAUAGGAAAGAAGCAUAGUGUUGUUCCCUGCCUGGAUUUAUGGCCUUGCCUUCAUUAUUUCUAUAAUUCUUUAUUGCUGCAAGUCCUGGGAAAGCUUAUAUUUCAGCAAGAUGCAACUGAGUCCUCUAAGAGUGAUGACCAAUCAGAUGAAAGCCUGUCCCGAUGUAUCCUGAGGCAUUUGUUCAGGUCUUGCCCUGGACUGAUGCAGGCAGCCACUUCCUAUGGCCCUGCUAUGGUUGGACAACACGUAUGGAAAUGGUCAGACGUGAACAGGAAGGUGCUUUCCUAAUCUGACACUACUCUGAAAAAGAAUUACAAGAACUACUAUUUCAAUCAAAAAAAUGUUUGACCUUGCUUAUAUGGACUUGGAUCAAAAUGACAGUGUAAAGAACAAUAUAUUCAGUUGCUCAGCAAAGCCCAUAGAAUUCUGCAUACUGCUUGGAAAUGCAACCCCAGUAAAAUCAGGGAAUUAGGAGCUGUGUCGGAAAACAUAUCUGGACUCCAUUUCACAUAUUCUCUGAGGGAAGAAGAAGUGACAAAGAGCUGAUGUGAGAGACAGAAAUUAUCAACAAAUGAAUCCUAAAAUGCUUAAAAGUUUUUCUCAACCCUUCGUUUGGAUGUGAGGAAAUGGAUGUGUUUGAGAGAAAGGGCCACCAAGAGAGGAACAUCAGGGCACCAUGUCUGGGGCUUGAGGAUCUGAGCUCAAUUUUCACUUCUGAUAGAGCUUUCUUGACUCAGUGUGAACAGUUUACUUUUUCUUGUACUGCUUCUGCACUUGGAAAAUUGGACUACUCCUGAACAGAACUGUUGGAAGGCUACAUUAUUCUUGGUGGGGUGCUCAUACAUGGCACUCUGUGACUGCAAAAUACAGGCUUGUCAAGAUCUGAAUGACAAAAAGGAGCUUCAUUUUUUUGGUCUAUUACUUUCCCUUGCAUGGCAGAAUGAAUAUUGGUUACAUGAAGAUUUGAACAAUAUUAUGUGAAAGCAAAAAUAAGAAGGAAAAAAAGAAAUAUUCUGUCAAGAGAACUUUUCUGAGAUCUGAUCCCUCUUGCAAAUAAAAUUAAUUGUGGCAUGUAGUAAUACAUUAAUUUCCUUGUAAAAUAGCUGAGCCAGUUUUUAAUUGUCUGCUUACAAAGAUUUGCACUGAACUAGAACUGAUCUUCCUAUUAUUUUCCUUUCAAGAAAAUAUGCUGUACAUAUUUUCUUGACUGAGUGCCUACUACGUUUUGUAUUUUUUGUCAUAUGCUAGCAUCUGAUAUGUUUAGUUAAAUACUUUGUAGGUGUUACUGUUCCCUAGAAUGAAAGAUCUAGACUUUAGAGCAAAACAUAUUCCUUCUUCUGAUAUAAACCCUGUACUUUUUAAAAAGCAUGCAGUUUAAAAAAAAAAAAAACACCAAAAACAAACAUAUGUACCUUGAGUGCCAUUUCUGGGAGUGAAUUGUCACGUACUAUUGCUACAGUGUAGGAAAACAGCCACCAUUUUUGUGCUAAAUUUCAAGUGUAGCAAUAGAGUGACUAUUAAACCGACAGACAGACAAUGUAAAUCUAGAAGCAAGUAAUAUGUAUAUUUCAACCAUCUGGGCUUUUGCUCUUUUCAAUAUUUGUUUGCUAGUUCAUUCUCCUAUCUAUAAUCUAGAGGUUUAUGGCAAAGUAAACCUAUAAAUCCUAACAACCAUAUUUUCAUUUGGAAGCUGGACCAGCUGUCAAUAAACAUCGAAAGAACUGCUCAGUCUUCAGAGGACGUGUGUUAAAAGAGAGGGUUCAUGCAUAACAAAAUUGCUGGAGUAAAAAUUCUUUAUUGAGCUUAUUCGUGGCUAUUAUUGCUCAUGAACCUUGCAGGUCUCCCCAGAUAUUGGGUGGCUGAAAACUUAAAAUGCCAUCUCUCUGAAGAUUUUUCUGCGUGUGUCUUACUUUAGACCUGCAUUUCAGCAUGGUCUUCAUCUUUUAUAUUGAUCGAAAGUCUUUUUAGGUCUAGGUCUACGACCCCUCCAAUGGCAAAGAGUCAUUUCAAACUUGACAAAAGUUGGUUGAUGUCAGUGAAUAUGCAAAUACUCAACUACAAUCUUUCUACUGAAUUCUGUGUAUUCUGCCUCACUUCCUUGGGGUGAAACACUGCCCCUAUGAUUUCAGAAUGUUUUCCUGGACAGACCAUAUUAUCCUGCUACUCAGGUGCUCCAAGUCAUUGUCAUUAAGCUGACUCCUGCGAUUCUUUUAUCCUGUACACCGACUUUGUGGUCAAGGUAACUGCACUAUAUAGCAGCAUUCCCAAGCUCGCUUGUGUGUAGGUGUUUUACACAAGAGUACUAU
ensembl:lncRNA